GAUGAACGCUGGCGGCGUGCCUAACACAUGCAAGUCGAACGGAGUCCAGCCUUUAAGACCUUCGGGUCAAAGAGGGGAAGACUGAGUGGCGGACGGGUGAGUAACACGUGGGCAACCUGGCUCAUAGAGGGGGAUAACAGAGAGAAAUUUCUGCUAAUACCGCAUAAGCACACACUGCCGCAUGGCAGAGGGUGAAAAGAGAAUCGCUAUGAGAUGGACCCGCGUCUGAUUAGCCAGUUGGCAGGGUAAGAGCCUACCAAAGCGACGAUCAGUAGCCGAUCGGAGAGGAUGGUAGGCCACAGUGGGACUGAGACACGGCCAGGACUACGACGGGAGGCAGCAGUGGGGAAUAUUGGAAAAUGGGCGAAAGCCGGAUACAGCAAGGCAGGGGGAGGGAAGAAGGCCUUAGGGAAGUAAAGCUCCUGGACACGGGAGGAUAAUGACAGGACCGGAAGAAGAAGAUCCGGCGAACUCAGUG
rnacentral:rRNA from 1 species